UACAGAGGGGGCAAGCGUUAUUCGGAAUUAUUGGGCGUAAAGGGCGCGUAGGCGGCUUGGCAAGUGGAUGGUGAAAUCCCUCGGCUUAACCGAGGAACUGCCGUCCAAACUGCUUUGCUUGAGACCGGGAGAGGUGAGUGGAAUUCCCAGUGUAGCGGUGAAAUGCGUAGAUAUUGGGAGGAACACCAGUGGCGAAGGCGGCUCACUGGACCGGUACUGACGCUGAUGCGCGAAAGCGUGGGGGAGCAAACGGGG
rnacentral:rRNA from 1 species